CAGGUAGUUGGCAGGGUAAAAGCCUACCAAGCCUGUGAUCGAUAGCCGGCCUGAGAGGGCACACGGCCACACUGGCACUGAAACACGGGCCAGACUCCUACGGGAGGCAGCAGUGGGGAAUCUUGCACAAUGGGGGAAACCCUGAUGCAGCGACGCCGCGUGAGCGAUGAAGCCCUUCGGGGUGUAAAGCUCUUUCGUCAGGGAAGAAUAAAAUGACGGUACCUGGAGAAGCAGCUGCGGCUAACUACGUGCCAGCAGCCGCGGUAAUACGUAGGCAGCAAGCGUUGUUCGGAGUUACUGGGCGUAAAGGGUGCGUAGGCGGCUAUUUAAGUUUGGUGUGAAAUCUCCCGGCUCAACCGGGAGGGUGCGCCGAAUACCGAGUGGCUAGA
rnacentral:rRNA from 1 species